GAUGAACGCUGGCGGCGUGCCUAAUACAUGCAAGUCGAGCGAACGGACGAGAAGCUUGCUUCUCUGAUGUUAGCGGCGGACGGGUGAGUAACACGUGGAUAACCUACCUAUAAGACUGGGAUAAUUUCGGGAAACCGGAGCUAAUACCGGAUGAUAUUUUGAACCGCAUGGUUCAAAAGUGAAAGACGGUCUUGCUGUCACUUAUCGAUGGAUCCGCGCUGCAUUAGCUAGUUGGUAAGGUAACGGCUUACCAAGGCAACGAUGCAUAGCCGACCUGAGAGGGGGAUCGGCCACACUGGAACUGAGACACGGUCAAGACUCCUACGGGAGGCAGCAGUAGGGAAUCUUCCGCAAUGGGCGAAAGCCUGACGGAGCAACGCCGCGUGAGUGAUGAAGGUCUUCGGAUCGUAAAACUCUGUUAUUAGGGAAGAACAUAUGUGUAAGUAACUGUGCACAUCUUGACGGUACCUAAUCAGAAAGCCACGGCUAACUACGUG
rnacentral:rRNA from 1 species